rnacentral:snRNA from 1 species
AUAUCCUAUCGCUAAUCAUCUAC